GAUCAUGGCUCAGGAUGAACGCUGGCGGCGUGCCUAAUACAUGCAAGUAGAACGCUGAAGGAAGGAGCUUGCUCUUUCCGGAUGAGUUGCGAACGGGUGAGUAACGCGUAGGUAACCUGCCUGGUAGCGGGGGGAUAACUAUUGGAAACGAUAGCUAAUACCGCAUAACAGUAGAUAUUGCAUGAUAUCUGCUUGAAAGGUGCAAUUGUAUCACUACCAGAUGG
rnacentral:rRNA from 1 species